GAAACCGGGAAGAGGAACUAACAGGAUUCCCCUAGUAACUGCGAGUGAAGCGGGAAAAGCUCAAAUUUAAAAUCUGGUGGUCUGUGGUCACCCGAGUUGUAGUCUGGAGAAGUGCUUUCUGCGCUGGACCGUGUAUAAGUACCUUGGAACAGGACGUCAUAGAGGGUGAGAAUCCCGUCUUUGACACGGACUACCAGUGCUUUGUGAUGCGCUCUCAAAGAGUCGAGUUGUUUGGGAAUGCAGCUCAAAAUGGGUGGUAAAUUCCAUCUAAAGCUAAAUAUUGGCGAGAGACCGAUAGCGAACAAGUACCGUGAGGGAAAGAUGAAAAGCACUUUGGAAAGAGAGUUAAACAGUACGUGAAAUUGCUGAAAGGGAAACGCUUGAAGUCAGUCGCGUCGCUCAGAACUCAGCCUUGCAUUUAGCUUGGUGCACUUUCUGAGCAACGGGCCAGCAUCAAUUUUGGCCGUUGGAAAAGGGCUUGGGGAAUGUGGCACCAAUUUAUUGGUGUGUUAUAGCCUCUUGUCACAUACAAUGGUCGGGAUUGAGGAUCGCAGGGCGUUUACGCUCUUAGGAUGCUGGCAUAAUGGCUUUAAGCGACCCGUCUUGAAACACGGACCAAGGAGUCUAACAUGCCUGCGAGUGUUUGGGUGGAAAACCCGAGCGCGUAAUGAAAGUGAAAGUUGAGACCUCUGUCGUGGAGGGCACCAACGCCCGGAUCAGAUGUUUACUGACGGUUCCGCGGUAGAGCAUGUAUGUUGGGACCCGAAAGAUGGUGAACUAUGCCUGAAUAGGGUGAAGCCAGAGGAAACUCUGGUGGAAGCUCGUAGCGAUUCUGACGUGCAAAUCGAUCGUCAAAUUUGGGUAUAGGGGCGAAAGACUAAUCGAACCAUCUAGUAGCUGGUUCCUGCCGAAGUUUCCCUCACGAUAGCAGAAACUCAUAUCAGAUUUAUGUGGUAAAGCGAAUGAUUAGAGGCCUUGGGGUUGAAACAACCUUAACCUAUUCUCAAACUUUAAAUAUGUAAGAACGAGCCGUCACUUGAUUGGACCGCUUCGGUGAUUGAAAGUUUCUAG
rnacentral:rRNA from 1 species